rnacentral:tRNA from 1 species
GGAGGGAUGGCCGAGCGGUUGAAGGCGGCGGUCUUGAAAACCGUUGAACGUGAAAGCGUUCCCUGGGUUCGAAUCCCAGUCCCUCCGCCA